rnacentral:lncRNA from 1 species
UCCUGUAAUAUACCGUCUCCCUGGUCCGCUAUCUGGGCAUUGCAAUACGGUAUACAUGUAGCUCUAGGAACACUAACACUCGUUGUUUAACUAUUUCUAUGAAUGUGUAAGAAAUAUAUAAUAUUAAGAACACUGUGUCAGUGUGAAGUACACUGUGUCAGUGUGAAGUGAACGUUUUUGAUAAUAUAGUCGGAUAAUAUAUUCGUGAUACUCUUUAUUUUGUUGAGAAGUUACUAAACAAUGAUGUUGUGAUCGACGGGAAAACAAUUAUAUGCGAUGUCUAAACUUGAAUGGGAUCGAUUAAAAGAUCAAAAGACCAAUACUGGAAAAGCUGAUGACUGUGACAAAAGGCGCUAAUCGAAGAAAACAAAUAUCAGAGACGAACAAUUACAUAUGCAUAAGAUAUACAUGACCAAGAGAAGAACGAAUAGACAUGCAUAACAUCCCAGGUCAAAUAUUGAACAAGGAUCAGAAGAAAGAAUAGAUUUAGACAUUUGUGAAAGGAACAAUGGAAACUUUGGAAUUGUACUCUUUCUGAAACGUAUAACUACAACAAAGUUGUGAUCAUUGUAUUAGAAACUGAAUUUUCCAUUCUUCUAGUGGUUUAAUUAGCAUACAAUGAUAUAUACCUUCAUGUUUUUAUACACUUAAUAUCUUUUUUAUAUUUUUUAAUCUUUAUAUUAUAUUUGAUCGAAGUAGCAAUGAAAAAAACGGGAAUAUAUAAAUAUAUAAGAGAAAAUUAUUGCAUUUUAUACUUGGAAUAACUUAAAGCGGAGAUAUGACGUUUCAUUGAGCCUUGAUAUUAGCACAAUUGUACGUGAUGUUAGUAACUCAUUUUAAUGGAAUAUAGCGGAUUUCAGAUACAUCUGUUCGGAAAGCGAUGCGACCCUGACUCAGCCCAUAUGUUUACUCGUAUAGAAUACCUUCUUGAUCUUAUUUGAAAUUCCUUUUUAAAUCAAAAACUAUUUAUUUGUAUGAAUGGGAUCGUUCGACAAAGAUUAAAGAUAUCAGGAAAUUAUUGCUAUAUUUCUUACGAAGCUUUUAAACUUAAGUACUGACAGAUUAUAUGUUAUGGAAACACUUCAGAAUUAGUUACUUUAACUAUUUUUCCAUUUUAAAAUUGAAAAGCAUUUGUAACGGGUAUCAAAUGUAAAUUGUCUCAAUUAUAAAGCUUUGUAUAAGCGGCUGUUACAUACGACUGUAUAUUAGUCAAAAUAGUAGGAAAGCUUUUACUGGCGAGGCAACCCUGUUUCAG